GUAGGGGUUGGUUUUGGUUCUGGUUUAAAAAUUGUCGGUCUUCUUGGAGUAACAUCAUGUCCUGUAUGGUUCUCUGGGUGAAGGCUCGGAUGCGAUUUUGUAAAAACUGAGUGAAUAGGCGCAAGAGGCAGAGCCCAAAGGCCAGGAGAAGGAGGAUAGUUAUAGCAGGGCCAAGGAGGGGAAGUAGCCAGGUGGCCCAAGAACUGAGACACCAAGGGGACCAAGGGGGCCAAGAGGGCCAGGCAGAGGAGCUGUUUUAUUUUCUGAGCUUGGUCUUUGAGCUUCUUGACUGCAUCUUGUACCAAACCUGAUUGGUUGAGAUAAAAACAGCACUGCUCAUCUAAGAAAAUGCAGAGACCUCCUUUUUCAGGGGUAAGUCAAGACCUCUGCAGUUUUGGAGGACUACUGCUGCUAAUGAUUCCAAUUGUGAUUGGAGGUUUGAGACGGCAUUAGCUAUGCCCUCUAUAUGUCCAUAAGGUCUUUUGAGAGUGAGCGAUAGUAGGUGAGGGAAGUGGAUAGGCCUGCUAUUCCAGUUCCUGUGGCAGUGGCAAUUCCUAGUCUGGCAAGUAGGGAUAUGAGUUGUAUGGCUUGACGAUGUUGAACCGAGGCCUGAAUUGGGGUAGGCAGGAAUUGGUUUCCUGGGGCAAUGUCAAUUUUGGGACUAGGAAACACCAGAGUGCAGGUGACAGUCCAAUUGGUGGGGAUGUAGAGAUAAGUUGAGGUGCCACAUAGGAAGAAUAUGCCUGGGCUAGUUAAGCAGAAUUGGUUAUGUAUGUUAAAAAGAUUUGUAAGUUUGUUGUCUUUGUACAUCCAUGCCCCUAGGGUGCUAGCUAAGGCGGCUGUGGUGAGUGGUUGUAAGGGAGUGUAUGGGUUUUUUUUUGGUAGUUUUUGCCUUUACUUUCCCAGUGGAAGGGGAAGCAUUUUGUGUCUAUUAAGAGCUGGUUAGAGGGGUUGUCUUUAAAUGAUGGGAUGAGGAGGCAUUCGUCUGUAGUAGGGGGGAUGAGCUUCACAGGGGGAUGGAGUCCAGGGUUGGAGGAACAAGCAGAGUAGUGUUUUUCAUUACAGUAUCCAGAGUUUAUGUUCUGUAGGAGGGUGAUGUUAACUUUGUGGGGGCUAGGGGAGCUGAAAAGCAUAAGGUAACCCUGAAGAUCUGGAGACUGGUAUGGUCAACUGGGCCCUGGAGUCGUAGGGUAAAAUUACAGUGGCUUGAAGGUAGGUGUCAUAGGAGGUGUCCAGAGGGUGGGUGGCAUUGAAUACAUAAAGGGGCUUGAAGAGUUAGAAAGGUGUUGGUGGUUAUGGGACCUAGGAUGGGCUUGGUGUGGUUAGCAUAGGGGGCCAGAUAAUCGAAAUAGGGAUAUAAUAAUAGAGCUGCUUGUCCUAUUGCAGUGAGAGGCUUGUUUGAGCUAGAAAAGGAGUUAGAAAGGUCUAUUAAGGCCUUUAAGUCUGGAAAUUGGAGAGGGCCACCUAGUUCAUAAUGGGGGUGGAAGGUUACUUGGGUUAAAACCCAGUCCUGAGCUGAGGAAGGAAUUGCGCUGUAAGCUGUAGUAGAUAGGUAGAAACAGAGCCAGCAGUUGCUUGCUAGAGUAGGGUUAACUUCUUUUAAUAGGAGUGUGUAAGAUUGAGGGCUUUGUGAAGGUAGUUAGGUAUUGGUGGAGGAAGGAGAGCUAGAGUGUGUGGGGGGCAGGAGGGGCAGUAGGAGUAAACAGGCAAAGGGUAAGGAUAAAAGUGAAGAAAUGAGUUUCAUCUGGGGUAAAAUUACAGAAGGUACCUUGGAAGGUGAGGUCAGUUAUCUAGUCAAGGAAUGCUGUGAGGGUGGGUUGUUCUAGGUAAAACCAUGGAAUGUCUUCUGUGAGGCAGUGAAGGAAGAGGGUGAAACGGCAAGACAGGCAAAGGCAGGACAUUUAGGAGGGACAGUUACUUGUUAGUGGCUGUUAUUCCUGCUAUAAGGAGAAUUAUGAGGCAAAAGGCUAUAGAAAAUAAGAUUUUCUGUUUGAAGUUCCACCCUGGGGGUGUUACAAUAUAUAUUCCUAUAGCAAAGAGCAGAGUAAGUCAGUCAAUUCCUGUAAGGGCAGCGCAGUAAAUGAUUUUCAUUAAUGAGGGUUCAGAUAUUUAACAGUGAAGGGUGGUAACUUAUCUGUUAGGAUUCAUGGGUGAGAGGAGUGUGGGGUCUUCUGGGAUGGGCGUAAGGUGGAGUCAGGUUGGCCCAAGGAGAGUGCUGGAGUGUUUGCAGGGAACAGCUGGUUGAUUAGUCGGUGGUGGGUCAGUUGCAGGAGUCCUUUAUAAUCUGGAAAGAUGGUACCAAGAGUUACGUCCUGAAAGUUUGGCUGCAGUGGGGGUAGUGAGAAGAAGUUGGAAAGGGCCUUCCUACUUUGGUUUAAGUCUCAUUGGAGUGAGGGUUUUUAGGAAGACAUACUCUCCUGGAAGGAGAGUUUGGUUGGCGGGGCCUUGGUGGGGUUUUGGGAGGGCCUGAUCAGCUUCUUUGCAGAGGAGAUGACAGAUGAGGGAGAGCGUUGGGAGGUAUUCUCCUAAUUGAGAGUUAGGAAGAGGUCUGUUUUGUAAGAGGAAAUUGCAUUCAUACAUUAACUUGAAUGGACUGAGGAAGGAGGGAGCUUUUGGACUGGCUCUGAUGCCAGCCAGUGCUGUGGGUAAAAGGGAGAUCUGUGGUUUUUUGACUUCAAGAGUGAGUUUGGUUACUGAGUCUUGAGAAUCUCAUUUGCCCUUCUGACUUUCCAGAUGACUGGGACUGGUCUGGGAUAUGGAAUUACCAUGCCAAGGGACUGAGAGACUUGUUGGGUGAUUUGGGAGAUGAAGCUAGGGCCGUUGUCUGAUUGUAUGGAGCGAGGCAGCCCAAAUUCUAGGGAUGAUUUCUGUUAUGAGAAUUUGAGAGACUUCUGCAGCUUUUUCUGAAGGGGUAGGAAAUGCUUCUACCCAACCUGAAAAGGUGUCUAUGAGGAGAAGAAGAUAUUUAUUUUUUUUGACGGGAAGGAUGUGGGUGAAGUCUACUUGCCAGUCCUCCCCUGGGAGUGUUCCUCUAAGCUGAUGUAUAAUGAUGAGGAGAGAGCAGAGGGCCCCUUGGGAGGAAGUAACAGAUCAUAUAUGAUAGUUUGAGGUUAUGUCUUUGAGUGAGGUGAAUAGAUGGGGAGAGGAGAAAUAAGGGCGAAGGAGCAGGUACAGGGGGUGCGCACCGAUAUGGAAGGAUUGGUGAAGAGAUGUCACAAUUUCCUUGGUUUGCUCUUGGGCGAGGACGAGCUUUUGAUUUUUGAUUAUCCAGUCUCCUUGAAGGGAGGCCCCCUGCUGUAGUAGUGAAGGCUUUUGGGUGGGAGAGUACUUGGGUUGGACUGCUGGGGGAAUGAGGAGGAGGCGGGCAGGGACAGAAGAAAGGGAGGCUUCUUUUGCUGCCUCAUCAGCCUUUCUGUUCCCUCUUGAGAUUUCAUCUGAUCCUGUUUGGUGUCCUCAACAGUGUAUAACUCCUGCUUUAGUUGGAAGGUGUGCAGCCUGAAGGAGUUGGUAAAUAAGGGGGCCGUUAGUGAUGGGGGUUCCUUUGGCAGUAAGGAAUCCUCUCUCUUGCCAGAUGGUGGCAUGGGAAUGAAGAAUGUGAUAGGCAUAUUUGGAGUCUGGGUAAAUGAUGACUCGUUUGAUUUGGAGAGGGUUAGGGCUCUGGAGAGAGCUAUAAGUUCUGCUUUUUGGGAGGAGGUUUGUGGGGGGAGGAGCUCAGCCUUAAUUACUUGGUUUAAGGUAACUACUGCAUACACAGCAAUUUUGGGACAGCCAGUGGCUCUGGAAGAGGAGCCAUCUAUGAAUAGUUGGUCAUCUGGAUUAGUGAGAGGCUCGGAGGAGACGUUAGGGAAGUGUGGUUGCAGGUGGUCUACAAUUUCAGUAUAGGAGUGGGAGGGAAGCAAGGAAGAUAUUGGAAUUAGAGAAGUGGGGUUAAGGGAACUUUUGGCAAGACAGAACUCAGGGUUGUCGAGAAAUAGAGCAUGAAGAAUCUGGAUGCGAGAUGGGGAGAGAACGCUUAAUAUUUGGAAGGAAAGCAGGUCUUGUAGAUUAUACGGACUGUGGAUGGUGGUGUCUUGACCAAAUAUUAGCUUUUUACUUUCUAAGGCCAGGGUGGCAGCUGCCACUAGAGCUCUGAAGCAGGUUGGCCAUCCUAGGGCAGUAAUGGUCUAGCUGUUUGGAAAGGUAGGCUAUGGGGGCAAAUGAUGGAGGACUUCCUUUUGCUUGGCCAAGGACACCAAGGGCUAUUCCUUGGUUUUCAGUUGUGUAGAGGGUGAAGGGCCAGGAAAUAUCAGGCAAAGAUAGGACUGGAGCACUUAUAAGGGCAGUUUUAAGUUUGUGAAAGCUAGGGCAUAUGUUGUGGGAGGGAUUUAGGGGCUCAUUUAGGGGACCUUUGGCUGCUUCAUAGAGAGGGUGGGCUAAGAGAAUGAAGUUGGGGAUCUAUAUUCUGAAAAAGCCUGCUAGCCCUAGGAAGGAAAGAAUUUCACUUUUUGAGGAAGGUGAAGAUAGGUUGUCUAUUAAGGCUGCUCGUGCCAGGGUCAUGGCUCGGGACCCAGGGGAGAGUUGAACCCCUAGGUAGGUCAUGGUAGGGGUAGAAAGCUGUGCUUUGGAGGUGGAGACCCUAUAGCCUUUAUCAGCAAGGAAAUUGAGAAACGUGGCAGUGUGGGUUUGGGAGUUUUUUAGGGAGGGGCUACAGAGGAGGAGGUCAUCUACGUAUUGAAGAAGAUGGCUAGGGGAAAGGUUUAAGGAGGCAAGGUCUUGGGCUAGGACUUGCCUGAAGAAAUGAAGGCUAUCCCUGAAGCCUUGAGGGAGAAUAGUCCAUGUGAGUUGUUGUGACUGGAAGGUGUCGGGGUCAGUCCAGGUGAAAGCAAAGAGGUUUUGGGAAUCAGCGUGUAGGGGAAUGGUGAAGAAGGCAUCUUUUAGUUCAAUUGCAGUGUAGUGGGUGGUGUUGGAGGAGAUGAGAGAGAGAAGUGUAUAGGGGUUAGGGACUAUGGGAUGAGUAGGGAGGACAGCCUGAUUGAUAACUUGGACGUCUUGAACAAGUUGUUAUGAGCCGUCAGAUUUUUUAACAGGGAGGAUAAGGGAUAUAGAGAAUGUAUUGGUCUAAGAAGCCCAUGUGAGCAGAAAUGGUUUAUGAUGGGCUGGAGGCCCUUUUGGUUGAUUAGGGAGAUGGGAUAUUGGGGAAUGUUGGGAAAUUUGGAGGGGUCUUUUAAUUGGAUUUUGAUGGGGUUAUGGUGAGCAGCUAUGGAAGGGGUGGCAGUAUCCCACACUACUGGGUUAACAAGAGCAGCAAGAAGUGGGUACUGAGGAGAGGGGUCAGGGGCCGGACUAGCGGAAAGGAGCAGGAGGGACUCUGGUUGACGGAGGCAGGAAAAGAUGAUAGAAGCCUUAAAUUUGGCUAAAAGAUUGCAGCCUAGAAUUGGGGUAGGGCAGCAAGGCAUAAGGAAGGAGUGUGAAAAAAUAGUAUUAAACAGGGAACAAGUGAGGGAUUCAGUGGCACGUGGACGUGAGAUGAGUCUGUCAAUCCCCAUGACAGAGAUCUGGAAGGGAUGAGUGGGUCCUGAAAAUUCAGGCAAAGCUGAGUAGGUAGCCUCAGUAUGGAGAUCGACUGACUUGCUCCUGGCAGAGGUGGAGAGUAGAAGAGAGGAUAAUAUAAAGAUCACGCCAAGUGAGUUUGUAAGAUUGGGUAAGGUAUUUGAACUCCUUAAUAUAAGUGUCGGGAUCAGAGAAAAAGGACUCCAGAUGUUUUUCAAUUUGGAAAUGGUCAGAGAGGGAGAAGGGAACAUGGAAAUGCAAAUGAUCCCUUCAGUCCCAGCCACCUCUCAAAGGAUUGCUCUCAUGGAUCUUCAGCCAAGGCUAGAAAUCAAACCAUUCUAGGAUUCACCUGGAAGUGCUGGGAAAAUUGUACUGAAUUUGCUAUUCCAGGGAUAGCUCUGUCUUAGUCUGUUCUCACGCUGCUACUAAAGACAUACUUUCCUUAUAAAGGAAAGAGGUUUAAUUAACUCACAGUUCCACAUGGCUGUGAGGCCUCACAACCAUGGCAGAAAGCAAAGAAGGAACAAAGUCAUGGCGGCAGGCAAGAGAGCUUGUGCAGGGGAACUUCCCUUUGUAAAACCAUAAGAUCUCCUGAGACUUAUUCACUACCAUGAGAACAGUAUGGGGGAAACUGUCCCCAUGAUUCAAUCAUCUCUACCUGUCUGCACCCUUGACACAUGGGGAUUACUACAAUUCAAGGUGAGAUUUGGGUGGGGACACAGUAAAACCAUAUCAGCUCUUUACUCAUUCCAUGACUAUCUAUUAUAGUUAUCAUUUGUAAGCAGUAUCAGAGACACUAGGUAUUCAGUGACAACAGAAAAGAAAUCUUUGUGACCUCAUUGAGAUAAUCUUUUUAACAUGGAAAAGAAUGUAAAGUUGCAAACAAUUGAAUUGCAAAGGAAUUUUUCAGAUUUUGCUGGGAAGAUUUUUGGCUUAGUAUAUCUGAAAAUACCCACAUUUUCAAUUUAUUUUAAGAUAUAAAAUUUGUAGGUACUACUUUUGUGAUAUUUGACGCCAGAUACUUCCUUAUGGCAAGAUCUUUUCCUCUGUACCCCUAGUCCUUUGCUAAAGAGGGGAAUACAAGUUUCUGUAUUACCAGCCUAUAGUACUUGCGGGCCAAUGAGAAGUAAAAUGCAUUAAGUAGUUUAUAAUCCUGCAGUACCCCUUAAGGUUUCUUUCUUCUAUUAUAAUAUUAUGACACAAAUGUCUGGUAGUAAAUAGAUGUGCAAAUAUAGUGAAAUUAUUCUUGUUCUCUAAACUAUCUUAUAAUAAUUAUAUUUACAUAUCUUGUUCUUUCUGUGUUGGUCAGAUAGUUGAAAUGCAUAGUUGUUCUGAAAAAGGGCCUAUAAAUUAGGGAACUUUGAACAAAGAUGACAUCAGUAUUUUUUUUUAUAUGAUAGCAAUUUUAGUGGUUCAUUUCUGAAGAACUUAAUUUGUUUAGCUUAAAAACACAAGAUACUUCACUUAAAAUAUUUGUGAAAAUUAAGAGCAUCAUUAAAAUAAGCAUACUCUGUUGUUUUUGUAAAUAUCAAACAUAAAUAUGAAACAUGGCAGCUCUAUUUAUAAUUACAAAACUUGGAAGCAACCAUAUUGUUUUUCAAUAGGUGAGUGGAUAAACAAACUUUGAUAAAUCAUACAAUAUAAUAUUAUUUAGUGAUAAAAAGAAAUGAACCAAUAAACCACAAAAAGACAUGGAAGAAAAUUAAAUGUAUAUUACAAGGUGAAAGAAAUUAGUCUAAAAAGGCUAAGUACAGUAUGAUUCUCAAAUAUAUGACAUUAUGGUAAAUGCAAAAGAUAGUAAAAAGAUCAGACGUUUCCAGGGGCUUUGUGAAGAGGGUAUGAAAGGUGAGAGAUGGAACCCUGAGCAUUUUCAGGGCAAUAAAACUAUUCUAUAUGAUGCUGUACAGAUGGAUUUAUAACAUUAUACAUUUGUCACAGCUGUAGAAUGUACAACUUAAGAGUGAACACUAAUAUAAACUAUGGAUUUUCCUUGAUAAACUUGUAAUAAUACUGGCUCCUGAAGUGCAAAAAAUGUACCAUACUAAUGCAAGAUCUUGAUAAUAGGGGAAACUCUGUAUAUGUGUGCAUAUGUAUGUGCAUUGGGAGGAGAAUGUAUAUGGAAACUGUAACCUUUGCUCAGUUUUUUUUGAAACUUAAAACUAGUUUAAAAGAAU
rnacentral:lncRNA from 1 species